AGAGUUUGAUCCUGGCUCAGGACGAACGCUGGCGGCAGGCUUAACACAUGCAAGUCGCACGAGAACGCCCGGGCCUAGCCUGGGCAAGUACAGUGGCGGACGGGUGCGUAACGCGUAGAUAACCUGCCCUCAGGCGCGGGACAAUCGCGGGAAACCGCGGCUAAUACCGCACGACGUCCGGACCCCGCAUGGGAGCCGGAUGAAACCUUGGGGUUACCCAGGGGCCUUUGGAUGGGUCUGCGUCGGAUUAGCUUGUUGGUGAGGUAACGGCUCACCAAGGUAGCGAUCCGUAGCUGGUCUGAGAGGACGAUCAGUCACACUGGGACUGAGACACGGCCCAGACUCCUACGGGAGGCAGCAGUGGGGAAUCUUGCACAAUGGGGUCACCCCUGAUGCAGCCAUGCCGCGUGGAGGAAGACACCCCUAUGGGGCGUAAACUCCUUUUCUGAGAGAAGAAGCCCCUGUAGGUUCAGGGCGUGACGGUAUCUCAGGAAUAAGCACCGGCUAACUCCGUGCCAGCAGCCGCGGUAAUACGGAGGGUGCAAGCGUUGUCCGGAAUCACUGGGCGUAAAGGGUGCGCAGGCGGGGCAGCAAGUCG
rnacentral:rRNA from 1 species